rnacentral:rRNA from 1 species
UACGGAGGGUGCAAGCGUUAUCCGGAUUCACUGGGUUUAAAGGGUGCGUAGGUGGGCAGGUAAGUCAGUGGUGAAAUCUCCGAGCUUAACUCGGAAACUGCCAUUGAUACUAUCUGUCUUGAAUACCGUGGAGGUCAGCGGAAUACGUCAUGUAGCGGUGAAAUGCUUAGAUAUGACAUAGAACACCAAUUGCGAAGGCAGCUGGCUACACGAAUAUUGACACUGAUGCACGAAAGCGUGGGGAUCAAACAGG